GAGAGUCUGUCCACCCAGAGAGGAGAGGGAACCUCACACCGGCUGUGAUGCGUAUCGGGGCUCUGCUGGCUGAACAACACUUCGUUGGGAUAAAACCUCCCGGUCACAUUUAAUUCAUUUAUUCUGCGUGUCUGUUUGUGCGCACGUGUGUGCCGCGAGGACUGAGAAAUGCUCUUGUAGCGCGAGUGCGAAUGACAAUAUCGCCCCGUGAGUUUACAGAAAUAUCCGGCGGAGCCCUAACUUGGAGCCGUGUGGACGUCUAACAAGUUUUGCUUUUAUUAUUGACUUGAAUCACAUUUGAGUCGAUUACUUGGAGCCCGAAGCCCUGCGCGAGAUGGAGAACGAAAAGUACUUGCCGGAGCUUAUGGCAGAGAAGGACACGCUGGAUCCGUCUUUUCAGCACUCCCUGCGGCUACUGGAUCAAGAGAUUGAAAAAAUCCAGAAAGACGAGGACAAGGACGAGGAGAAGUUCAUCGACGUCGUCAUCAACAAGAACAUGAAACUGGGCCAGAAAAUUUUAAUACCAGUCAAGCAGUUUCCUAAAUUUAACUUUGUCGGCAAACUCCUCGGGCCACGCGGGAACUCGUUAAAGAGACUACAGGAGGACACUCUCACAAAGAUGUCAAUUCUCGGAAAAGGAUCCAUGAGAGACAAAGAAAAGGAAGAAGAGCUACGGCAGAGCAACGAGUCCAAAUACCACCACCUGAACGAAGACCUGCACGUCCUCAUCGAGGUGUUCGCCCCACCGGCUGAGGCCUACGCCAGGAUGGGUCACGCUCUGGAGGAGAUCAAGAAGUUUCUAAUACCAGAUUACAAUGAUGAGAUCAGACAGGCCCAGCUGCAGGAGCUCACAUACCUGAAUGGUGGCUCGGAGGAUGCCAAGGUGCCAUCGGUGAGGGGCAAGUCAGCUGCCCGUGGAAGAGGGACACCUGUUCCAGGGCCUCCAAGGACUCGAGGAGGAGUUCCUCCACUGCAUGCAGCGGUGCCCCGGGGAGCAGCACCCAGAGGAGCCCCACCCAUCCGGGCUCCGUCUUCCAGAGGGAGGGGGGUUCAGAGAGCCAGAGGGGCCCCGCCAACCGCUGGGUACCGGCCGGCUCCUCCCAUAGUUCAGGACACAUAUGGCGAAUAUGAAUAUGACGAGGACUACGGAACGACUUAUGAUGACCAAGGAUAUGAAUCGUAUGACAACAACUACAGCAAUCAAGGACAAAACUCAGAUGACUACUACGAAUACGGACAAAGUGAGGAGUCGUAUGAUUCGUAUGGACUGGAAGAGUGGACAAACAAUCGUGCCAAGGCACCGCCAGCACGAACAACCAAGGGAGUGUACAGAGAUCAGCCGUACACCAGAUAUUGAACUGUUUAUACAACCUGCACCUGAGUCCUCAUGGCUGUUUCAACCCAAGCCGAUUGCCCGGCUAGACCAGGCCAUCCGUCCAAUCAUCUCAUUGGUGGUAAAGAUUUGACCAACCGCACUCGAGCUUCCGUCCAAAUAUUCAAGCCCACACGGUGUCAAACGACACCACAAAGGAUCUCCUCGACCUCGAGUGACCUGUUGAGAUGCAGAAAAAGGGGGAAAAAGAUAACGCAUGUAUCACACGUCGUCGUUCUCCGGUGAAAGGAAGGGGCAGCGGGAACCCGUGAGGCAAAUGGAGUUCCUCAUCCUCUGGGACGAUCUGUCUGAGAAUAUUUCCUUGAGAGCUUCCCCGGUUCUGUAUACAUUUGACAUACACACAGGAGUGCUCUAAACUGAUUCUGAACCUGCCCUGUGUCUCUCUUGAUUUAGACUGUUGUUGAGAGGAUGUGUCCCCAUUUACAUUAGACAAUGCCCACUAGGGAGGAUGAGUAAAUCAAUAAUGCAGUAUGCUAAGUGUAUGACAUAUUUAUAGCAAAGACACUUCUAAUCUCAUAUUGUUAUGCUCAUUAACCAAUAUCUCAUCCACUCCGAUGAAUAAAUAAUUCACCAAGUGCCUUAUUGUUGCAUUAUGACAGCUUUAGAUGUUUAGUCCUGUUGCCAGAAUUAAAAUAUGGGGCAGUGCAAUAGAAAAUGUAGCUUUUUUUCCUCCUUUUAUGCUGUUUUUUGGUUUUCUGUAUGCAUUACCACGGAACUGGAAAACACCAGCCAGCCCCACACUAGAGUACAGUCUAUUCCAGAUGUAUUGCUUAAUCAGAAUCGACUUCAGUGGAUAUUACAAUUCCAAAAUAGCUUUCUAACGGAUAGAGAGCUUCAUUCUGCCUUGUGCAUAAGUCCAGAUAGGCUGAUCCGUAUUCCACACAGUUGUAUGUCCUCAGUGGCUGACAAUAGUUUUCCAUUAGAGGAAGUGAUUCUCUCCGGCGCUUCGGGCCAAGCCUCAGACAAUAACACGGCGACCUAAAGCUUGCAUCUCGGGCUCCCGGAGUCAAGUCUCAUCACCUCCGGGGGCUGAUUCCCCCUCUGAGGUGGCUUUGCGAGACAGGCUUAUCUGAAGUAAGCUUGUCCAAGUUAAUAAAGUAAGAGCGGCUUAUUUGAUUAACAGUGCAUACAAAGGAGGAUGCUGUGAUCUGUCACUGGGAGUGUCCAUAUCAACACUGAAAGACAGAUCGAUGGUUCCCAAACAUUGGGUACUGGGACCACUAGUGGUGUUUUUAAAAGGCUUCUUACUAUAAAUGAUGACACAUGAACACACAAUGUUCGACCAAAGUUUUGUCUCUUUCAAAUGAUUUCUGUAUUUGUCUUUUUUUUUUUGCUAUUGAUUUUGUGUGGGUACGGUUCUGUUGGAACGUGAUGUCAUGUGUUUUUGUGCACCAAUCAGAGUUUAGCGACAUCAUCAUUUAAAUGUUGCGGGGUUGUUUGCUGGUCAGCACCGUCAGUCAAAUCGGAUCAGACCACACCCACACAGUCCUGACAAAGUAGAGAACAGUUUCCAAGAGUCAGAACAGAAGAUUGUUACAGAGGCAAUUGAGAACAGAGACACCCCACUGAGACUUGAUGUCCUGUAUCUGUGUCACGUGGGUUUCGCCCAUGCCCCGCCCCUUUAGGAGACUCCCAAAUAACCAAAGAAAACAUUGGGCCCACUGGGUACCAUACCAUGUCAAACCAUUUGCGGAACUUGUAAUGCAUUGUUAUAGAAUAUCUUUGAUUGUUACGACACUCACGUCUGUAUGGUAAAGCCAGCGGCCAGUUAGCUUAGCAUAAAGACUGCAAAUAAGGGGAAACGGCUAGCCCGGCCCUGUCUAGCGGUAACAAAGUCCACCUACCAGCUCAGUAAUUAGAAUACAGUAUGUAUUUUGUUUAAUCAAUACAAAAGUGUAAAUACAAUAAUUUGCCAAUUUGCUGAAGACUAUUUCUUGGAUGAGUAACGUCCUGGAGGGUCCAGUGGUUGUUUUUACACAUUGUUGUUUGUACUUAUUAAACAAAAGAAAUAUAACAUCUUAUUUAGUGAGCGUUGGAGGUGUGCAGAUUUUGUUACAGCGCUUGUUUCUUAUUUCUUAGCUUAUUUAGUCAUGACCAUAACAGAAAUCCAUACAAUGUUUCAAUUCAAGUAUUCAGAUGCUUUAAAGUCACUAUGUAUAUGUAUAACCUGUAUGUGAUUAUAAUAUCCGUGAUGAUAUUUUAAUGGUAUAUGAUUUUGUUCGUUGGAAAAUUAGACAAUUGAUCUGUUAUAAAUUGGUGCAGUUUAUGUGUCGCUUUCGGCCCUUUUUUUCCCUCAAUGUCCUCAGGUCAGAUAUGUGUGGUCAGGAGGGAGAGUGUCUUUUAUAAACUGCCAAAGUCAGACAUUUUAAAGUUCCAAUCAAAGUGGUUUUAAUUUCAUUCCUUUCAAAGCAAAUACAGGAAGAGAUAGUUCACGACUACUACCAGCAACUUUCAAUAUUACAUACCCAUGUAUAACUGAUUUUGGUCAGUUGUAUAUAUCAUUUUUUUAUUUAAUUUUUUACAACAAUGGCUUUUUGAUUGUGUAAAGUGUGCUUAGCCACCUGUAUUCCUCUUAAUCAUGUCCAGGGUCUAAAGUGGCUGUCUCCUGCCUUUUGUUCUGUAAUUAACUGGAGCGCUCCUAAUCUUACUGAGAUCAAAAACACCCUGAUCAAUGUUGAGGUGCUCCUUCAUCUCCUUUGGAAGUGAGCACUAAUGUGACCAACGGUGCUGAAUGCUAAGUGGAACCUCAGAUUAUGAAGGAUCAAUCGUUACACAAUAGCAACAAUACAGAGAAUGUACCGGCAUUAUGUUGAGCAAUGGAAAUCUUUUCAAUUACAAUAUACCCAAUAAACGUCUUUCUCAUGCGCAUGCUUAUUUUUGUGAUUACUAUUUUAAUCAAUGAACAAGAGGUGAAAUUUUCAUGUGCUGUUACACAGUUAUCACCGAUUCAACAAGUUAAUAGUUUGUAGAUAUCCUUACUACGAAUAAAGUUUUCCCAGAGUUUUAAAAAAAAUGUUCUUUUGUCAAAAUGCGUUGUGAUUGUGCAGUUCUGACUGCAAUGUGAGGCUUCUCUCCCUUUGAUACCACACUUCAAAGUCAGUAUAUAUGAACGCUGCACUGUGUCAUGUUGGGAAACAAAUCGCGGAGGCAAUUUCCACGUCCCGACUGUUGAGGAUUGACACUCUGUAAAGAAGUCUGAACUAAAUGUAGUUUUAAUAACUCAGAGGGGAAAGCUCGUGGAGAGUAUUGGCAGUCGGCUUGUUUUCCUAACUUAAAGACUCCACCACUGCAGGGAUAUUGUUUACCUUGAUACGCCCUUGAAAUAAUAGUUUCAGAUCAAAUAACUCUGUGUUGCAAAGGCUGUCUCCGUCUCCAACCUUUUAAAUAUUGUAUG